rnacentral:misc_RNA from 1 species
GAUAUUGCUUACAGUUGAUGCAAUUCCAUGCACAAAACAUGUUUGAUUGAUGACUUCAGUUGCAUGCAUGGCACAUGUUUGAUGAAAAGCUAAUUGUCGUUGCCAUUUUGACUAUGUAAAUUUUGACAUUAUUCAUGUCCUAUCUCAAACCUUUAAUUCUGAAAAGGGGAUAGUGAACUAUAAUGAAAUAAUGACUUGCUCUAUUU